rnacentral:rRNA from 1 species
GAUGAACGCUGGCGGCGUGCCUAAUACAUGCAAGUCGAGCGAACAGAUGAGGAGCUUGCUCCUCUGACGUUAGCGGCGGACGGGUGAGUAACACGUGGAUAACCUACCUAUAAGACUGGGAUAACUUCGGGAAACCGGAGCUAAUACCGGAUAAUAUAUUGAACCGCAUGGUUCAAUAGUGAAAGACGGUUUUGCUGUCACUUAUAGAUGGAUCCGCGCCGCAUUAGCUAGUUGGUAAGGUAACGGCUUACCAAGGCAACGAUGCGUAGCCGACCUGAGAGGGUGAUCGGCCACACUGGAACUGAGACACGGUCCAGACUCCGACGGGAGGCAGCAGUAGGGAAUCUUCCGCAAUGGGCGAAAGCCUGACGGAGCAACGCCGCGUGAGUGAUGAAGGUCUGCGGAUCGUAAAACUCUGUUAUUAGGGAAGAACAAAUGUGUAAGUAACGAUGCACGUCUUGACGGUACCUAAUCAGAAAGCCACGGCGAACUACGG